CCUACGGGUGGCUGCGGUGGGGAAUAUUGGACAAUGGGCGAAAGCCUGAUCCAGCCAUGCCGCGUGUGUGAAGAAGGCCCUCGGGUUGUAAAGCACUUUCAGUGGGGAAGAAAGCCUUGGGGCUAAUACCCUCGAGGAAGGACAUCACCCACAGAAGAAGCACCGGCUAACUCCGUGCCAGCAGCCGCGGUAAUACGGAGGGUGCGAGCGUUAAUCGGAAUUACUGGGCGUAAAGCGCGCGUAGGCGGUCUGAUAAGCCGGUUGUGAAAGCCCCGGGCUCAACCUGGGAACGGCAUCCGGAACUGUCAGGCUAGAGUGCAGGAGAGGAAGGUAGAAUUCCCGGUGUAGCGGUGAAAUGCGUAGAGAUCGGGAGGAAUACCAGUGGCGAAGGCGGCCUUCUGGACUGACACUGACGCUGAGGUGCGAAAGCGUGGGUAGCAAACAGGAUUAGAUACCCUGGUAGUC
rnacentral:rRNA from 1 species